AGAUUGAACGCUGGCGGCAUGCCUUACACAUGCAAGUCGAACGGCAGCAUGACGUGUAGCAAUACACGUUGAUGGCGAGUGGCGAACGGGUGAGUAAUAUAUCGGAACGUGUCCUGUAGCGGGGGAUAACCUAUCGAAAGAUGGACUAAUACCGCAUACGCUCUACGGAGGAAAGCGGGGGUCGCAAGACCUCGCACUAUAGGAGCGGCCGAUAUCGGAUUAGCUAGUUGGCGGGGUAAAAGCCCACCAAGGCGACGAUCCGUAGCUGGUCUGAGAGGAUGAUCAGCCACACUGGAACUGAGACACGGUCCAGACUCCUACGGGAGCAGCAGUGGGGAAUUUGGACAAUGGGCGCAAGCCUGAUCCAGCCAUGCCGCGUGAGUGAAGAAGGCUUCGGUGUAAGCUCUUUGGCAGGAGAAAUGGUUCGUGUUAAUACCACGGACUGAUAGACGGUACUGAAAGAAGAAGCGACCGCUAACUA
rnacentral:rRNA from 1 species